rnacentral:rRNA from 1 species
UGGGGAAUAUUGGACAAUGGGGGCAACCCUGAUCCAGCCAUGCCGCGUGAGUGAUGAAGGCCUUCGGGUUGUAAAGCUCUUUUGGCGGGGACGAUGAUGACGGUACCCGCAGAAUAAGCCCCGGCUAACUUCGUGCCAGCAGCCGCGGUAAGACGAAGGGGGCUAGCGUUGUUCGGAAUUACUGGGCGUAAAGCGAGUGUAGGCGGUUGCCGUAGUCAGGUGUGAAAGCCUUGAGCUCAACUCAAGAAAUGCACUUGAUACUGGGUGACUAGAGGACCGGAGAGGAUAGUGGAAUUCCCAGUGUAGUGGUGAAAUACGUAGAGAUUGGGAAGAACACCAGUGGCGAAGGCGGCUAUCUGGACGGUUACUGACGCUAAGACUCGAAAGCGUGGGGAGCAAAACAGGAUUAGAUACCCUGGUAGUCCACGCCGUAAACGAUGGGUGCUAGACGUUGGCGAGCUUGCUCGUCAGUGUCGCAGCCAACGCGUUAAGCACCCCGCCUGGGGAGUACGGCCGCAAGGUUGAAACUCAAAAUGAAUUGACGGGGUCAUAGCUGUUUCCU